AGCAGGGGGAAGGGUGAGGGGGAAGGAGCGGCAGAGGGGGGCUGCUGGGGGCUGGCCGCAGGCCCCCAUUCCCCAGCCCCCUGCGCUGCUCGGGGCGGGAUCAAGGGGUGAAGUGCCGUCUCCAGCCCUUUCUUCUCAGCUCUGACUGGAUUCCCUGGAUGAAUUCUAGACCUGGCUCAUCAUAUUGACUGUCUGGGACUGCGAUGGAGCCUGCUGUCAUGACCCUGCUUGGGUGCUGUGGGACUGUGCCCUGGUCGGUGAGGGCACUGCCCUGACUUUGCUGGGGUCAUCCUUGUUUCCCGCCCAUCCUCCGUUACCGGGCAGCCCUGCUCAUACAGCUGCUUGACAACAGGGUAUGAAGAAUGGUAUAAAAAAAGUGAACCACAGAAUUACAGCAGAGCUGAGGCCGUCAUCGUGUCCAAACCUCCUGCUUGAACAGGGUCAUCUACAGCCAGUUGCUCAGGACAAUAUCUAGAUGGCUUUUGAAUAUCUCUAAGGAUGGAGAGUCUUCAACCUCUCUGGGCAACCUGUCCCAGUGCUCAGUCGCCCUCACAGUGAAAAAGUUUUUCCUGAUAAUCAAACAGAACCUCCUCUCUUGCAGUUUGUGCCCGUUGCCUCUGAUCCUGUCACUCUGCACCACUGAAGAGAGCCUGGCUCCAUCUUCUUUACUUCCUUCUGUCAGAUAUUUAUAGACAUUCAUAAGAUCCAUCCCCAGCUUUCUUUUCUGUAAGCUAAACAAUCCCAGCUGUUUAAGCCUCUUCUCACAGGAAAAAUGCUCCAGAACUGGACCCAGUUCUCUAGAUGUGGCCUCAGCAGUGCUGAGCAGAGAGGAAGGAUCUCUUCCCUCAAACUGGUGGCAAAAGUCUUCCUACUGCAGCAAAGGAUACUGUUGGCCUUUUUUGCUCUGAGGGUGCACUGUUGGCUCAUGUUCAACUUGGUGUCCACCAGGACUACCAAGGCCUUUUCUGAACAUCUGCUUUCCAGCCAGUCAGCCUGUAGUGUAUACUGGUGUAUGGGAUAAUUCUUUGCCAAGUGCAGCACUUAACUCUUCCCCUUGCUGUACUUCAUGAGGUUCUUAUCAUCCCAUUUCUCCGGCUUCAAGGUCCCUCUGGAUGGCAGCACAACCCGCUGGUGAAUCAACUGCUCCUCCCAGUUUUGUGUCAUCUGCAAACUUGCUGGGUGUAUGCUCUGUCCCAUCAUCUAGAUCAUGAAUGAAGGUGUUGAACAGAAUUAGACCCAGUAUUGACCCCUGGGGUACACCUGUAGUUUCUGGUGACUUACAAAUGUGUAGUUCUUGCUUUCUGUUGUAUGAUUGUAAUGUUAUUCCAGGCUUAUACAGCCAGUUUGCAUGUGGUAAGUAAAAUGAACUUGCCUGGUACUUCCAUGUUCAGAUGGACUCACCCAGAUCCCUUGUGCCAAGAUAGCUUGUUCCAAGAUGUCUUAGUGUCUCUACUGCCAUCUUUGUAGUACCAUGUCAUGGUUCAGCCUCAGCUGGCAACUGAACACCAUGCAGCUGCUUGCUCACUCCCCCCCACCCCUGCGGGACAGGGAAGAGAAUCGGAAGAGAAAAAGAACUUGUGGGUUAAGAUAAGCACAGUUUAGUAAUUACAAUAAAAUAAUAAUUAUAAUAAUGAUUAUGAUAAUAAUGACAAUAAUGUUAAUAUAAUAAAAUGGAAAAGGAAGGGAAAGAAAAAAAAAGAAAAAAACCCCACAGAAACACGAACGAUACAACCGCUCACCACCCGCUGACCAACGCUGCCCAUCCCCAAGCCGCAAUUGCUGCCUCCCUCCCCCUGGCCAGCCCCUCCCAGUUAACAUACUGGGCAUGACGUUACAUGAUAUGGAAUAUCCCUUUGGUCAGUUUGAAUCCGCUCUCUCAGCUGUGCCCCCUCCCCUCCCGGCUUCUUGUGCACCCGGCAGAGCGUGGGAAGCUGGAAAAGUCCUUGACUAGUACAAGCACUAACCAGCAACAGCCAAAACAUCUUCGUGUUAUCUCAACAUUUUUUUUCAUGCUAAGUCCAAAGCACAGCACUGUGCCAGCUAGAGUGAAGAAAAUUAACUCUAUCCCAGCUAAAACCAUGACAUACCAGGAGCUGGCUGGAUUAUGUCAUACUACCCUUGGACUAACUCUUGCCCUUUAAUAAGAUGACUCCUUUUACCAUGAGUGGCUACCACAUUGGUCACAACAUGUUAAAGGCUGUGUCAACACACAGAUUUCAUGCAUUGUGGAAAUACGUCACUGUGUACAUAUCUCCUGAACACUACAUAACAUACCAAUAAUACAGAAUACAGAUUCAGUUGCUUAUUUACACAUUUUCUAAAUGAAUUCUCUAUUCAGCUUUUGUAAGUAAUGAGUCUUUAAAGUAUUAGAGAGUUAGUUUUAUCAAUUCACUGUGGUAGAUAUGAACCAGCACCUCUUUUGCCUAGUCUCUGAGAACUUUUGACCAUGGAAAAAGUGCAACCUUUUAAGUCUGAUUUUGAUAGCAGUUACUUCUAAGUACUCAUUAUGCAUGUUUUUCAGUUUGUAUUUUGGCAGCACUUGGAGAGAAAGUCUCAGAGAAGACAAUCACCUGCAUUUAGUACACUCCAUCUGAAAUCCAGUUCUUUAAUAUUCAAACUUGGUGUUGAGAUGCCUAUUUCUGUGGAUAUCUAAAUGUGAUAAAAUGUGUGCACAUGUAGCUAGAAUAUUAUACUUCUUGAAUAACUAGAGAAAAACAAGAAUAAUUUAGCAGUCUUUCUUUGAUGCAUGUUACCAUUUAAUUACUUGGCAAAUGUUACAGAUUUGGUGAAAAUUGUACUGUCAUAGUGGUAUCCUGACAAAAAGUCAUGUUCCUACUGAAGUUAAAACAUAUCAGUUUUGAUUACAUAUUGUUAUCAACCCAUAUAUUGCUAAUCUAAAAUAUACUUUUAAAAUAGAAUGUUUAUUUGACUUUUGAUAUGAGAAUAACAUUCAAGAGUUAUGAAUUAAUUUAUUUAAUCACAGUGGCUGUGCAAAAACUGAGAAAAUUGAUUUUUAAUUUAUAUGUUAGGAUAGGGUAGAACCUAUCGAAAUUCUUAAGCUGUUAGAUUUUGUUCUCAUCUAGCUCUAGUAAACAAGUUGGGGUUUUUUAAUACAUUUGGAACUCUUUGAGCAUGCUAACAUUUCCUUGUGAUUAGUUUUAUUGCCUUAGGGAAAAUGCCUGAGUUCAGUAGCUGUAAUCGAAUGUGUUCUCGUUUAAAUUUUUUUCGGUGUGAUAAUGUUGCUUAGUGUAUGGACAUAGAGAGGAUAGUUUCAGAUUUUGUUCAUUGUAACAUUUCCUUCCUUUUAAUUCUGACUGUGUUGAAAUCUGUUGAAAAGUGCUGCUGCAGGCAUUUCAAGUGAUAAAAAAAUAAGGAUUAAAAAAACCCAACCACUAGUAGUAUUUUUAUCAAAUUGUAUGAGAUUACCAUUUAUGCAAGUGACAAGAUACUAAAUACUAAGCUAAGGAAAUACCCUUUUCUCCAGAGCUUUUUAAUAAAGAAAAUCUAUACUCCCCUACUUGCCCCUCCCAAAUUAGUCUGUAACCAUUACCUGUUACAAAAUGUUGUGCCUUGUCUUAAUCUCUGACUAGAAUAAAUAAUGUCAUUCUUAAUGCAGAAGCAUCUGGUACUCUGAAGCAAGUUUUUGUCAAAAAUAUAUGUGCCCUUGAGUAAAAUCCUGGCAGUCACUCUAAUAAAUAUAAGCUCUGUUUUUUAUCAGCCGUAUGUCAGGCUGGAGUAUAACCUUCUAUGGGGCUAUGGAAUUCAUUCGCUAAACUACAUUUUACAUUGAGAGGAACCUGAGGGAUCAAAUGGAUUAUGCAGUUGUAAAGGAUUUUCUUUUUAUUCUAGAUUAGUGCUAAGCCAGACUGCUUCAAAAAUGUGGAGUAGCUCCAAACUGAGGGUAUUUGUAAACACACUAGAAACUUGGAGAGGUGCCGGCUGCUAUUUAACAAUUACACAGAAAGAAUUAGAUUUAAAAAAAAAACAACAAAAGCAGCCCAUUUGCCUGCUCUUAUUUCUGCAUUAGGUGCUUUUGUAUUGCAAUUUCUUUAUUAAGACUAAGUGAUAUCUGUUCAUUUUGACUGUAAGAAGGCAAUUUGUGGCCUUAACCAUUGAAGUUCUGCUCACAAAAAGACA